AUCAAAUGUUUGGUCCAAUAGGCCUUUUGUGAGGUCUGAGCCUUAGUCCCACCUGGGACCUAGUUGCCUCCCAGGGACAGGGGUCUGUUGACCACCUGUGGCCAUUUCUGACACAUGGUAUCAACUGGUCCAGCCUGGCUUUCCUGUCUCUGCCUCUCAUGACACUCUGCCCCUUACUGGAACACCCAUAUGUGUGUUCACCUUGUAUUCCCACCAUCCACUGAGCCUUACGUCUGUGGACACAAUGCUUUGCCUGUGCCUUGCCUACCUGCGUGUGCAUCCACUGUCAUCUGGACCAUUCCUCCCCCAGAAUCUUCCAUAAUCUUUAUAGGCCUGGCUGGAUUCAUCUCUGACCCUUCUCUGCCACCUGAUCUUCUAGCCAGCAUCAGACGCAACUUGGUCAUCUUUUCUUAAAUACGACCAGCUAGUGGGACAGAUGUUGAGUCACUGUCUGGGAAAAUAGGGCCUAGGGGCAUCUGUGAAAGUUCAUCACGUUUCAGUGGGGCUUUCUGCUGGCUUUCACAGAAGAAUGCACCAAUAGUGCAGGCCCAGCCACAGAUCAGAACCACAGAGAGUGCGUAUGUCAUAGCCUAGGAGCUACACUUGAUGUUUUGGAAUUUAUCUUGAUCGUUAGAAAGCCACAGAAAAUUGUAGUACAUAUUAUGCUUCACAGCAUAAUCAACUAAACCAAACAAAUUUUCAGUGGUAAUAAACCAAGAAGACUUAGCCAAGAAUUGGUAUGAGUAUGGACACUUCCCUAAGAUGAUCUUGCAUGAUAUUUGUCUCCCUCUCAUACUGGCUCGGAGUGCCCCAGUUGUAUUUCUGACAGUAGUGCUACCUACAUGGCUGUGUUCCUUACAUGAAACAUGCAGGUUAUAGACCCCAUCAUACUCAGCGAUGUGGGAUUUAACUACACUGCAGCUAUAGAACUUGGAGACAGGAACACUUUGCGAAUUGUCUCCAUUUUACUCCAUAGCCUCAGGCUGGUGGUCCACCUGACAGGAGGUGCAAAUGACUAAGAAUGUCUUUUUUUUUCUUUCUGUCAAGCUAUUCUUUAUUUCAGGGAGAGGGCAGGGGAAGGGGGCUCAGUCUUUCUUGGCAGCAGCUUUCCUCAUGGCGGCCAGUACGUUGCUCAGCUCCUCCUGCUUCCUCUUGGCGCGGAUGUGCAUCCCCACCCUUUUCUUGAUAAAUUUGAGGGCCUGUUUGUCCUUGGAGACCUUCAGUAGCUCCAUGGCACGCCGCUUGUACGGGGCAAAGCCACACACCUCCCGAAUCAUGUCCCACACGAACUUGGUGUGUUUGGUCAGAAUUGACCCCUCUUGGUUUCCAUUUAUUUGUGUUAGUGUUUGGCAUAUACAAAGGGCUCAAUGCUGUGUCUCUCUCUUCCAGAGGUGUCCUCCUGUCCUCUUUUCAAGGUUUUUGAUUAAAAAUUU
rnacentral:lncRNA from 1 species